AUGUUCAAUACUAUCAUUGAAAGUUUGGACCUGAGAGAAAUUGAGCUCUCGGGUAGAAAAUUCACCUGGGCUAACGCGCUGCCAAAUCCGACGUAUGAGAAGUUGGAUCGAGUGUUGGCCAGUGUCGAUUGGGAACAGAAGUUCCCUCUAGUAACAGUCCAGGCCUUGUCCCGCGGUAUUUCUGACCACACGCCGUUAUUUGUGGACUCUGGUGAGCCCUCCCACCUGGGGAACAAGAAUGUGUUCUCCUUUGAGAUGGCUUGGUUUGAACGUGAAGGCUUCCUUGAUCUUGUGGCUAGAGAGUGGGCUAAGGAUUCAGGAGGGAAGACUGCGCUUCAGCACUGGCAGAAUAAGAUUAGGCAUUUGAGGAGUUUCCUGCGUGGAUGGGCUAAGCAUCUUAGCGGGAUUUAUAAGGUCGAAAAGGAAAGGCUCCUUUCCCUUAUUCAGUCCCUGGAUUUA
rnacentral:rRNA from 1 species